rnacentral:rRNA from 1 species
CGGCGAGCGAAGCGGGAAUUGCUCAAAUUUAAAAUCUCCGGUGCUUGCGCCGGCGAAUUGUAGUCUGGAGGCGCGGUUUCGCCCUACGCGGUGUCCUCAAAGUCGUCCUGGAAAGGCGGGCCAAAGAGGGUGAGAGCCCCGUGCGCGGGGGCAUUGCCGAAGGCAAGAUCCGUCGCCAAGAGUCGGGCUGUUUGGGAUUGCAGCCCAAAACGGGUGGUAAACUCCAUCUAAAGCUAAAUACUGGCACGAGACCGAUAGCGAACAAGUACCGUGAGGGAAAGAUGAAAAGCACUUUGAAAAGAGAGUCAAAUAGUACGUGAAACCGUCGGGAGGGGAAACGAACGAGGUCGGUGCGGCGAUGUGCAGACUCAGGCCGGGCCGAAGGAGAACGUGGGGUGAGUCGAGACGGCUCUCUCACGUGCAACUGAGGUGCGGACGGAUUUCUCGCGAUUGCGGACCAACGGCGGUUGGACCCGGGGCAGAAGGGGUGACGGCAGGUGUGCCGGUCGGAUUCGUUCCGACGGGCAACUUAUAGCGUCGCAUCCGCACUCGGGUUCGACCGAGGAAGGGGCAGCCUUUGCCCGUUUGGUGCACGCCGUAAGGCGGGACCCGCCUCGGAGGUGAGUCGGCAGGCAGGGACUGCACGCGGUGUCUGUCGAGUCGGCGAGCCUGCCGUGGGACGUGGUCACUUGUGCGCCAGUGCCGCUGGUAUUCGGACGGCCUCGUCCGACCCGUCUUGAAACACGGACCAAGGAGUGCAACAUGUGCGCGAGCCCUUUGGCGAGCAAACCAGAAGGCGAAAUGAAAGUGAAGGCGCGGUCGCCGCGCUGAGGUGAGAGCCCGUGAGGGCGCAUCAUCGACCGACGCCAUCCGAGCUUCCGGGUGCGGCGGAGUUCGAGUAAGAGUGUACCUGUUGCGACCCGAAAGAUGGUG